AACGAACGUUGGCGGCAGGCUUAACACAUGCAAGUCGAACGCACCGCAAGGUGAGUGGCAGACGGGUGAGUAACACGUGGGGAUCUGCCCAAUGGUACGGAAUAGCUCCGGGAAACUGGAAUUAAUACCGUAUGUGCCCUUCUGGGGAAAGAUUUAUCGCCAUUGGAUGAACCCGCGUCGGAUUAGGUAGUUGGUGUGGUAAAGGCGCACCAAGGCGACGAUCCGUAGCUGGUCUGAGAGGAUGAUCAGCCACACUGGGACUGAGACACGGCCCAGACUCCUACGGGAGGCAGCAGUGGGGAAUAUUGGACAAUGGGCGCAAGCCUGAUCCAGCCAUGCCGCGUGAGUGAUGAAGGCCUUAGGGUUGUAAAGCUCUUUCGCCGACGAAGAUAAUGACGGUAGUCGGAGAAGAAGCCCCGGCUAACUUCGUGCCAGCAGCCGCAGUAAAAC
rnacentral:rRNA from 1 species